rnacentral:pre_miRNA from 1 species
UCUGGUUUCCGUGUCCAACGUUUGACCGUCCGUCUUAUUUGAAAAAAUUAUAUAAAAAUUUAAAAGACAAGUCACGUAUAAAAUAUUAAUCAUAUUUUAUCAUCUAACAACAAUGAAAAUACGAAUUAUAAAAAAAUUUCAUAUAAGACGGACAGUCAAAGUUGGACACGGAAACCCAGUGUUUGUCUUUUU